CAAAUUGAGAGUUUGAUCCUGGCUCAGGAUGAACGCUGGCGGCGUGCCUAAUACAUGCAAGUCGAACGCUUUGUGGUUCAACUGAUUUGAAGAGCUUGCUCAGAUAUGACGAUGGACAUUGCAAAGAGUGGCGAACGGGUGAGUAACACGUGGGAAACCUACCUCUUAGCAGGGGAUAACAUUUGGAAACAGAUGCUAAUACCGUAUAACAAUAGCAACCGCAUGGUUGCUACUUAAAAG
rnacentral:rRNA from 1 species